rnacentral:lncRNA from 1 species
GGAAUUUUUAAACCUUAAUAUUAGAGGCUAGCAUGGGAAGUUCAUUUUUAAUGUUUGCUCACUUAUUAAUUUGCUUUUUUAUUCAGUAUUUUAUUGAGAAUGUAGUAUAAGUCAGGCAGUGUCCUUAGACUGAGGGUCAAGUGUAAGAGUAAGAUUUUUCUGUUUAUACAAUGUGUUAGUUAGCUUUCCAUUGCUGUGACAAAGUACCUGAGAAAAUCAACUCAAAAGGAGAAAUUAUGAGCCAAAAUUAAUGUUGGUAAUUUAUAGCGAUCACUUACUAGUUCAGUCCAGUUGACCAGCCAGUUGGAGUUAGAGUGCAUUUUAAAACUCAGGUAUACAUUUGUAUCAUUGAAAUUGUCGGGGCAGAUAGUAGAAUACACUCCAGCUAGUUAAAGUAUACCUUAUAGAAGAGAGCCUGUCUCACCCUGUCACUUAAAUAUGCUGUGUAAAGAGCUUUAUUGUUUGUUUCAGCUUUUGACUGCAUUUGAAAACGCACUGGGCUUAUCAGAUCAGAUUCCUAGCGAAGAUCACCAACUCCUUUAUAGGCAUUUUAUUCAGUGUUUAUCCAAAUUUCCUCAUGAGACUGCUCGGUUGAAGAAGGCCUGUGAAGGAAUGAUAAACAUCUAUCCCACCAUACAGUAUCCAUUAGAAGUGCUCUGUUUGCAUUUGAUUGAGUCAGGUAAUUGCUUCUUUAUUACAUCGUGUGUCCUAGGCGUAUGUGAUUGCGUGGGAGCGCUUUUCUAUCCAUCAGAACAUGUCUUAGUGCUUACCAGGUGUAAGAGAUUGUUUCAGUGUUUC